rnacentral:tRNA from 1 species
GGAGAUAUAGCUCAGUUGGAAGAGUUCGUGUCUAGCAUGCACAAAGCCCUAGGUUCCAGCCCUAGUAUUAAUA